UUUCUACUCCCUCCGUCCGAAAAUACUUGUCAUCAAAAUGGAUAAAAAGAGAUGUAUCUAAAACUAAAAUACGUCUAGAUACAUUUCCUUUUAUCCAUUUUGAUGACAAGUAUUUCCAGACGAAGGGAGUAUUUC
rfam:Triticum urartu cultivar G1812 contig40853, whole genome shotgun sequence.